rnacentral:lncRNA from 1 species
GGCCCUGAGCCAGGUCCCUGGAAGGAUGGUGACCUGGGGCAUCUGCUGUGCCCUGGGCCAGCUGGCAUGGGCAUGGAGCGUGCUGCAUCACCCUCUGAGGAGGAGGUCGGCUCCCACAGGGCCUGGGACAUCUGUGGGCGCCUCGUCAGGCGAGUUUGGGUCUCUUUCGCAGAAGAAAACUGGCAGCGACUGCCUGCGGCAUGGGCAGUCCCACCGAUGUAAAGAACACAGCCACAGGCCGGGACGAUACAUCAAGCUCACGCCCACGGCCCUCACAUGUCCACGAAGACCAUGAAGCACCAGCCCAGGCCCCCGACUAGCAGCAUGGUGACAUGGAUGCCGUAGAUGAGCAGCUCGUUCACCAGGCGGAAGUCCACGCGCCGGCGGCCCAGCAACAGCAGCAACACCGAGAGUUUGCGCUGGAAGCGCAGCAGGACGCGAACGCCCAGGUACUGUAGGCAGAAGAGGGCGGCCAGAGCACCCCAGAGCGCCGCGGUGAACAGGCUGCAGCUGAAGUAGAGCAGGAAGCGGAUGAAGCCGUACAGCCAGCGCGUCUUGAUGUACACGUCGAAAUUGUUGUACUUGGUACGGGCCAGGUGGGAGGCGCGCACGGGCCCGCGAGGCUGCAUGCAGGCAGGUGGUGUGCGGGCCGUGGAAGGAGCGCACCGCCUCGGGAUGGGCAUGACCGGCAUUGGGCCCUGGUGGCGGCGCUAGCUUCCGGUGGUGGCGGCGUCCAGGCAGCGGUCAGCGAUAGGGGUCAUGGCUCCUAGGCCUGGGAGCCGGCCACUGAGCCUCGCGGGAGGCGUCGGCCUGCGGGGAGAGCCGCAAAACCCAUGUCAGUGUGAGGACACUGUGUGGAUCCUUCCCCAGGCAAUCAGCUGGCGAAGGCGGACACAAACUCCAGCGCCCGGACUACGGGAAAAGGGAGUCCAGGGCAGGAUCUGCGGGCACUCCCAGGCUUACUCUUUUCACAAACCCUCCCAAGGAUACUUCCAGGGGGCCCACCACCUGGGGAAGCCAAAGUGCUUGUUCUAGGGCAGCACUGGGGAAGGGGGGCCUUCGGGGCAGCCGCCAGGGGAGGCCCCCGGAGGUGGUCAAUGCCAAAACGGAUGGGAAGGGGCAAGAGUGGCUCUUUCCUGCAGGAUCCCCGCAGCCCCCCACAAGCUGGACCACUCUCUGCUCUUAGGCAGUUUGCCUGUUACUGCCCUGGUCUUCUGUGGCUGCCUGAACCAGGACUGACACAAGCCCUAAAAUGGUGCCUGCAAAAAGCCACCACAGGGCCGGGAGAAGGGACUCACAGGUGAACCGAGAACAAGCCCGGUGGGGGCAGGUGACUCCAGCAACCUGACAAGUGCUAGGGGCCAGAUGGACGGCUGGGGGGCCCUGGGGUCACCUUGCUGGGCCUGAACCCUGGCACUGUCCUUCCCUAGCAGUGACCUUGGGCAGGUCACCUGACCCCAAGACGGCUCCUGCUCUGUCCAAUGGGGGUGCCAGUAGCACUGCUCUUGCGAGUAGCUGUGGGAGGUAAGAGGCUGGGCCUGGCGUGCACAGUGGAGGCACAGCGCCCAGGUCCCCGUGUGGGGUCGGCCCGGGGUCUGGCAGCGGCCCUACAGACUGGGCUGCAAAGAGUAGACGCGGCAUUUGGCUCUCUAGCUUCACCUAGUAAAUGCCGUUUAUAGCUUGCCUAAAUAAUCUGCAGACGGAAUGAACUCAAAGGUCAGGAAAUAAAAUCGGAGUAGGAAAGUU